GUGCUUGCUUCAGCGGCACAUAUACUAAAACUGGAACAAUACAAAGAUUAGCAUGGCCCCUACACAAGGAUGACACAAAUUUAUGAAGCAUUCCAUUUAAAA
rnacentral:snRNA from 1 species